rnacentral:rRNA from 1 species
GCGCUCGUGUGAUACGGAGUUUCAUCCGGUAAAGCGAAUGAUCAGAGGAGCUGGGCUCCUUGCGAGCUCAACCUAUUCUCAAACUUUCAAUGGGUGAGACGUCUCGCUGGCUUCAGUGCAGCGACGACUCUGAAUCCGAGUGCCCAGUGGGCCACUUUUGGUAAGCAGAACUGGCGAUGCGGGAUGAACCGCAUGUCGAGUUAAGGUGCCUAAGCGGACGCAAAUCAGAUACCAUGAAAGGUGUUGAUUGCUCAGGACAGCAGGACGGUGGCCAUGGAAGUCGGCAUCCGCUAAGGAGUGUGUAACAACUCACCUGCCGAAGCAAUCAGCCCUGAAAAUGGAUGGCGCUAAAGCGUUCCACCGAUACUCGACCGUCGUCGGCAGGCGACGUGCAUGCCACGUCUCAAGCCACGACGAGUAGGGCGGCGCGGCGGUGAGCGUCGAAGGCGUAGCCGUGAGGCUAGCUGGAGCCGCCGUCGGUGCAGAUCUUGGUGGUAGUAGCAAAUACACAAGCAAGAUCCUUGUGGACCGAUGUGGAGAAGGGUUCCGCGCGAACAGUACUUGGACGUGGGUGAGUCGGCCCUAAGCCAACGGGUAAUUCCCGCAUCCCGUGUUUGUCGCAUAUUCGAAUAACAUGGGUUGAU